AUGUUGACCCCAGAAAAUAAAAAUAUCUGGAUCUGCCACUGCCUAACACCAUCAAAUUCCAUCACAUAAUAGGUUAAAAAAUGCAUCCCUCAAACUAAAUCUCCAUUAAAAAUUAAGUUCAAGCAUAAUUUUAUAACAAAACUUAAGCCCCAGGCGUAAGGACACAUGGGAAGGGAAGAAGAACCAAGAAGCAACAGAAAGAUGUAAAGGAAAGAGAGAUAGAAGAAUGCAUAAUAAGAGUGUGCGUGCAAGGAAGAGACUGGGGCAUAUGAAGAAAUCAGAGAGAAAUUAGUGACAUGGAAAGAAUAGUGAACUAUGGCUGGUGGCCAGAUCAAUAGUGACAAGCCAUGUGUAACAUCGCAAGGUAUAUGAGGAAACAUGCAAAAUAAGGCUCUUGAAUGUUGUUUUAUACUAGUCAAUUUUUGAACUGAUCUAAUCAAGUCUAAAUGAAUUUUAUGAAAAAUUGUUAACUAUGGU
rnacentral:misc_RNA from 1 species